AGCCUCCUGCUUUAAGACUAGCAUAGGUAUGCUUAGGGAGGAGCUUGCGUCACAUUAGUUAGUUGGUGGGGUAAAGGCCUACCAAGACUAUGAUGUGUAGCCGGGCUGAGAGGUUGAACGGCCACAUUGGGACUGAGACACGGCCCAAACUCCUACGGGAGGCAGCAGUAGGGAAUUUUCGGCAAUGGAGGAAACUCUGACCGAGCAACGCCGCGUGAACGAUGAAGUAUUUCGGUACGUAAAGUUCUUUUAUUAGGGAAGAAUAAAUGAUGGAAAAAUCAUUCUGACGGUACCUAAUGAAUAAGCCCCGGCUAACUAUGUGCCAGCAGCCGCGGUAAUACAUAGGGGGCAAGCGUUAUCCGGAAUUAUUGGGCGUAAAGGGUGCGUAGGCGGUUAAAUAAGUUUAUGGUCUAAGUGCAAUGCUCAACAUUGUGAUGCUAUAAAAACUGUUUAGCUAGAGUAAGAUAGAGGCAAGUGGAAUUCCAUGUGUAGUGGUAAAAUGCGUAAAUAUAUGGAGGAACACCAGUAGCGAAGGCGGCUUGCUGGGUCUUUACUGACGCUGAGGCACGAAAGCGUGGGGAGCAAACAGGAUUAGAUACCCUGGUAGUCCACGCCGUAAACGAUGAGUACUAAACGUUGGGUAAAACCAGUGUUGAAGUUAACACAUUAAGUACUCCGCCUGAGUAGUACGUACGCAAGUAUGAAACUUAAAGGAAUUGACGGGACUCCGCACAAGCGGUGGAUCAUGUUGUUUAAUUCGAAGGUACCCGAAAAACCUCACCAGGUCUUGACAUGCUUCUGCAAAGCUGUAGAAACACAGUGGAGGUUAUCAGUUGCACAGGUGGUGCAUGGUUGUCGUCAGCUCGUGUCUGA
rnacentral:rRNA from 1 species